rnacentral:rRNA from 1 species
GCUGAAGUGUCAUAUAGUAGCGGGACGGGUGAGUAAUGCAUGAGAAGCUGCCAGUUGGGGAGGGGACAACAGGUUAGGAACGGCUGCUAAUACCCCCGUAUGCCGGAAGGUGAAAGGGAGCGAUCCGCCCGAUGAGGUGCUCAUGUCCUAUCAGCUGGUUGGUGGGGUAACGGCCUACCAAGGCGACGACGGGUAGCCGGCCUGAGAGGGUGAACGGCCACACUGGAACUGAGAUACGGUCCAGACUCCUACGGGAGGCAGCAGUGGGGAAUAUUGGGCAAAUGGGGGCAACCCUGACCCAGCGACGCCGCGUGAGGGAAGACGGCCUUCGGGUUGUAAACCUCUUUUGUACGGGAAGAAGGAAGUGACGGUACUGUACGAAUAAGUCCCGGCUAACUACGUGCCAGCCGCCGC